rnacentral:rRNA from 1 species
CUUCCCUCUUUCUUCGUGCCUAAUACAUGCAAGUCUAGCGCACAGACGAGGAGCUUGCUCCUCUGACGUUAGCGGCGGACGGGUGAGUAACACGUGGAUAACCUACCUAUAAGACUGGGAUAACUUCGGGAAACCGGAGCUAAUACCGGAUAAUAUAUUGAACCGCAUGGUUCAAUAGUGAAAGACGGUUUUGCUGUCACUUAUAGAUGGAUCCGCGCCGCAUUAGCUAGUUGGUAAGGUAACGGCUUACCAAGGCAACGAUGCGUAGCCGACCUGAGAGGGUGAUCGGCCACACUGGAACUGAGACACGGUCCAGACUCCUACGGGAGGCAGCAGUAGGGAAUCUUCCGCAAUGGGCGAAAGCCUGACGGAGCAACGCCGCGUGAGUGAUGAAGGUCUUCGGAUCGUAAAACUCUGUUAUUAGGGAAGAACAAAUGUGUAAGUAACUAUGCACGUCUUGACGGUACCUAAUCAGAAAGCCACGGCUAACUACGUG